GUCCCCUUACCUGUCUCCCCACCAGUGUUGUCCGUUGUUUUUGCUCCUUUGCACGUGGCUCUUGCCUGUCUUUGAGUCACGCAGAUCCACCUGCAGGAAGAGCUCCAGAAAAUUUGGGAAGAAAGGAGAGAGGAGAUAUGAAAGAUACAUUUUUUUUUCCCCCAAGAAGCAGGAAAACAGAAGGAAAAUAAAGGUCUUCCCAAGUGUGUCCCCUGCAGCACCCCCCGUCAGGUAAGUAAUGUUUCCUUGGAUGCUUUGUUCCCUCGUGCCUCGCUGGUGCCUCCUCAUUUUUUAGAAUCUCUUGGGGGAGAAGGCCAUGAACGUGAAUCGCAGGUCAGAGGCAGGAAUAGGGUUCUGGGUCCUUUGUCUGGUGGCCUCACUCCGCCCCUGUGUCUGAGCCUUUUCUGGGGGCAGGUGAGGCAGAAUCAUCUUUGCGGUCACAUCAUCUGCUCCUGGAUGAGACAGCGUUGCAUCUUCUUCCACCAUUUACAUUUCAAACUGACGCCUGCCUGCUGUGGAUUCAUUAUUCAGGAAUGCUGGUCACUUGCUCCCAUCUCACGUAAAAAGUCCAAUCCUUUUUAAUCCGAAUCUUCUCUCCCCGAGUCCUUGUGUAGUUUUCGAAAUGAAAUGCUGUGAAUUCCUUUUGAGCCCCUGGAAGCGCUGCAUCACUUCCUCGUUUGCAGAGAAUGCCUGCCUGGACGACCCGUUCCCAGGAGUGGAAGCCACCUGCCUCUGACCUUGGCCGGCACCCCUGUGGGAGCUCCACUUUUAAUUUUCGAAAACCGGAAGUCCAUCUGUCUCUAAAGACCUUUCUAGUUUCUAGAAGAGAAAACACUGCCUAGAUGUGGUCGUGCCGCUUAAUCUGGCUGACUUAAAGGCGCCUCGCACAUUCUCCUUCUGCUGCCAUGUGUGGCCGGGAUGCUGAUUUAUGACCGCCUCUGCCCUGGCAGGUUAACCCCAACAUGGGUCCCCUGCCCUGUUCAUUUUAUCACGAUCUGUCCCCUGGCUCUUCAGCGCUGAAAUCACAGCAGAGGCAAGCCCGCGGCUUGGUGCACGUUGCUUGUUUAUGCCCACGUGGAAAGAACAGCCAGAUGUCCUGGACACCAGAGCACUUCCCUCUGCAGUGUUCAUACAAUCCUGCAUCAGUCCGAGAGCUACCCAUCCAUCGAGCCCGUUACCUGGACAGCACACUGUAUUCCUUGAUGGAGAGGCUUGUGUUUGAAAACAGUAAAAUCUUGACUUAUUUUUCCA